UUAUCUUUUGAUUAAAAAGAAACCGAAAAGAGUUCAUAACGAGUUUGCCACAAGCUAUUACAACUCGCCUACAAUAAUUAAUUUAUAAGCUCCGCGAGUGAAUCGUUUAUUCAACCUUAUUAUGUAAUUACUGAUAUUAUUAUUAUUAUUGUAAUUA